AAAGUCGUAACAAGGUUUCCGUAGGUGAACCUGCGGAAGGAUCAUUAUUGAAUUAAUAAAAGUGGGCUUCAAGUGGUGGCUGACGCUGAUGGUCAAACAUAUGUGCUCGCCGCCAUGAGAGGUUCAUUUUUUAUUAACCCUUUUCCACCUGUGAACUAUUGUAGAUGUUGGAGAUCAUUCCUCAGGCAGCAAUGCUUGGUUUGGAGUUUGCGGGCUUCAUUCAGUUGAAGUCGGCUUUCUCUGCGAUCGACAAUGUCUAUUUACAUAUACCCUUGAUUAAAGUUAAAGAAGGACUUGAUUGGGCUUUCAUGCCUAUAAAUCAAUAAUACAACUUUCAGCAACGGAUCUCUUGGCUCUC
rnacentral:misc_RNA from 1 species